rnacentral:miRNA from 1 species
GAGUCUGAGAUUGAGGAAGGCA